CUUAAAAUUUUAAGUUCUAAUUAUUACAUUUUAGCGUUUCAAUAUCAAGUGAAAUUCACAUUGUUGAUCUAUCCUUAAAAAAUUCUGAGUCUUGGUUAAGUCUGAAGUUUUUAUAUUUUUAAUAUAAUUGGUACAAUUUUAAUGUCUUGAUUUAAUUUUUAUAGAUAAUUUUCGAGCACUAUUAAUUCUUACGGAACUAUUGCCCAUAACAAACGCGGAAAUUUCAAAAAUAAAAAAAGCUGAACAAGUGAAAAAAGAUCAACAGAAGAAAAAUGAUCAAGAAAAUGAAAAAAAUAAAAAAGUCGGACAAGGAAAAGGAAAAAAACGAAAAUACGAUGAAAUAGAAAAUGACACUCCAAUUAUGAAAAAAGUGUUUCCGAAUAAUGAACUCGUCAAACUUGUAUCAGAAGGACAAAUGUUGAAGAUUUUGCAAAACAACUUCGACAACAGUCGAAAAAAGCUAUACAGCCUUAUUUGAUUACUCAUUCGGGUCAAUCAGUAGACAAAACUUUUAUACAAGGAGAUGGGUGGUUUAUUGGCGUCCAUCCUGCUAGUAAACCUAUCACUUCAUUUGACCUUCUCUACAAGACAUAUUAUAUGUUGAAUGUCGAAUAUCCCGAAAAAUUAAAAAAUUUUUACAAUUUCAUCGACUAUUACAUUUCCCAAAUGAAAGUUAACCCAAAAAGUAUGGUGUCCUCUUUACAUACGAAUAUUGUUAAUUUCAAGAUCGACACUAAUGACAAGAGUUACAACAGUAACAAAAAUAACAAUAGUCAGCAUUUGUCUGAGGAUGAUGUUUCGGACUAAAAAUUUUUCUUCAUUACUACUUAUUUCUACUUUUUACUUAUUACCUAUUA